GACGAACGCUGGCGGCGUGCUUAACACAUGCAAGUCGAACGGAAAGGCCCUGCUUUCGUGGGAUUCUCGAGUGGCGAACGGGUGAGUAACACGGGAGUAACCUGCCCUUGACUUUGGGAUAACUUCGGAAAACUGGGUCUUAUACCGUAUAGGAGCUCCUGCUGCAUGUGGUUGGUUGGAAAUUUUCGGGGGGUGGGGGUGGACUGGCGGCUUACCAGCUGGUUGGGGGGGGAGUGGCUUACCAGGCCUUUGACGGGUAGCCGGCCUGAGAGGGUGACCGGCCACAUUGGGACUGAGAUACGGCCCAGACUCCUACGGGAGGCAGCAGGGGGGAAUAUGGCACAAGGGGCGGAAGCCUGAUGCAGCAACGCCGCGUGCGGGAUGACGGCCUUCGGGUUGUAAACCGCUUUCGCCUGUAACGAAGCGUGAGUGACGGUAAUGGGUAAAGAAGCACCGGCUAACUACGUG
rnacentral:rRNA from 1 species